GACGAACGCUGGCGGCGUGCCUAAUACAUGCAAGUAGAACGCACAGUUUAUACCGUAGCUUGCUACACCAUAAACUGUGAGUUGCGAACGGGUGAGUAACGCGUAGGUAACCUGCCUGGUAGCGGGGGAUAACUAUUGGAAACGAUAGCUAAUACCGCAUAAUAUUGAUUAUUGCAUGAUAAUUGAUUGAAAGAUGCUAUUGCAUCACUACCAGAUGGACCUGCGUUGUAUUAGCUAGUAGGUGAGGUAACGGCUCACCUAGGCGACGAUACAUAGCCGACCUGAGAGGGUGAUCGGCCACACUGGGACUGAGACACGGCCCAGACUCCUACGGGAGGCAGCAGUAGGGAAUCUUCGGCAAUGGACGAAAGUCUGACCGAGCAACGCCGCGUGAGUGAAGAAGGUUUUCGGAUCGUAAAGCUCUGUUGUAAGAGAAGAACGGGUGUGAGAGUGGAAAGUUCACACUGUGACGGUAUCUUACCAGAAAGGGACGGCUAACUACGUGCCAGCAGCCGCGGUAAUACGUAGGUCCCGAGCGUUGUCCGGAUUUAUUGGGCGUAAAGCGAGCGCAGGCGGUUAGAUAAGUCUGAAGUUAAAGGCUGUGGCUUAACCAUAGUACGCUUUGGAAACUGUUUAACUUGAGUGCAGAAGGGGAGAGUGGAAUUCCAUGUGUAGCGGUGAAAUGCGUAGAUAUAUGGAGGGACACCGGUGGCGAAAGCGGCUCUCUGGUCUGUAACUGACGCUGAGGCUCGAAAGCGUGGGGAGCGAACAGG
rnacentral:rRNA from 1 species